UACGAAGGGUGCUAGCGUUGUUCGGAAUUACUGGGCGUAAAGCGCGCGUAGGCGGCUUAUCAAGUCAGGGGUGAAAUCCCGGGGCUCAACCCCGGAAUUGCCUUUGAAACUGGUAAGCUUGAGUGUCGGAGGGGAUAGCGGAAUUGCUAAUGUAGAGGUGAAAUUCGUAGAUAUUAGCAGGAACACCGGUGGCGAAGGCGGCUAUCUGGACGACAACUGACGCUGAGGCGCGAAAGCGUGGGGAUCAAACAGG
rnacentral:rRNA from 1 species